rnacentral:lncRNA from 11 species
UUUAAGAAGAAACGUUGGGGAAACAAAUGAGGAGGCAAUUAAGAGGGCUACAGUGAUGCAAAGAAGAACAAGUUUCUAAGAGAGAUCUUUGGCAGAUUUACUUUGUCUUGCAGAGGUGAAAAGCAUUGCUACUAGGGACAUUCUGUAGGACCAUGUUGAAUGUUGAAGCCUAGAUUUUGUUUGCAUGUGGCCACGCCACAGGAAGAGAGGGCUGAAAGAAAAUUGCUACAGGAGAAAUGUGCAUCAACAGCAGAAACAUAUAUAAGUAUGAUUUGGAAGGAUAAAAAGGACAUCUGGUUGAAGUUGACCAUAGAGUUUCCCUG